rnacentral:rRNA from 1 species
AACGAACGCUGGCGGCAUGCCUAACACAUGCAAGUCGAACGAACUCUUCGGAGUUAGUGGCGCACGGGUGCGUAACGCGUGGGAAUCUGCCCUUGGGUACGGAAUAACUCAGAGAAAUUUGUGCUAAUACCGUAUAAUGUCUUCGGACCAAAGAUUUAUCGCCCAAGGAUGAGCCCGCGUAAGAUUAGCUAGUUGGUAGG